rfam:Anopheles merus strain MAF unplaced genomic scaffold supercont2.47, whole genome shotgun sequence.
CGCCUGGAUCUUUUAGGAUCCAUCAACAAUAAAAAAGUAAUUUUCG